rnacentral:rRNA from 1 species
AUUGAACGCUGGCGGCAGGCUUAACACAUGCAAGUCGAGCGGAGAUGAGGUGCUUGCACCUCAUCUUAGCGGCGGACGGGUGAGUAAUGCUUAGGAAUCUGCCUAUUAGUGGGGGACAACAUUCCGAAAGGAAUGCUAAUACCGCAUACGUCCUACGGGAGAAAGCAGGGGAUCUUCGGACCUUGCGAUAAUAGAUGAGCCUAAGUCGGAUUAGCUAGUUGGUGGGGUAAAGGCCUACCAAGGCGACGAUCUGUAGCGGGUCUGAGAGGAUGAUCCGCCACACUGGGACUGAGACGCGGCCCAGACUCCUACGGGAGGCAGCAGUGGGGAAUAUUGGACAAUGGGGGGAACCCUGAUCCAGCCAUGCCGCGUGUGUGAAGAAGGCCUUAUGGUUGUAAAGCACUUUAAGCGAGGAGGAGGCUACUGAGACUAAUACUCUUGGAUAGUGGACGUUACUCGCAGAAUAAGCACCGGCUAACUCUGUGCCAGCCGCCGCGGUAA